UGGAAGUAAAAAACGUAACAAGGUUUCCGUAGGUGAACCUGCGGAAGGAUCAUUAACCGUUACAAACAGUGUGUGAUGCGGCCGCCGAGGUGAAUAGCCUCUGGUUGGUAUGGGGUUCGCCCCUUCACGCUCACGCGUCUGCCAUCCUUACUUUACGAGCACCUUCUGUUCUCCCUCGGCAAGGGCCUCGCCCUGCCGUUGGAACUACAAAACUCUUUUUUGCAUCUAGCAUUACCUGUUCCGACAAAAACAAUCGUUUACAACUUUCAACAAUGGAUCUCUUGGCUCUGGCAUCGAUGAAGAACGCAGCGAAAUGCGAUAAGUAGUGUGAAUUGCAGAAUUCAGUGAAUCAUCGAAUCUUUGAACGCACAUUGCGCCCCUCGGUAUUCCGUGGGGCAUGCCUGUUCGAGCGUCAUCUACACCCUCAAGCUCUGCUUGGUGUUGGGCGUCUGUCCCGCCUCCGCGCGUGGACUCGCCCCAAAUACAUUGGCAGCGGUCUUUGCCUCCUCUCGCGCAGCACAUUGCGCUUCUCGAGGUGUCGCGGACACGCGUCCAGUAAGCAACAUUUACCGUCUUGACCUCGGAGCAGUAGGUACCCAU
rnacentral:rRNA from 1 species